rnacentral:lncRNA from 1 species
CUAAAUUGAUUCUAGAGAAAGAUCAUGUGGAAAUUAUAAAAAGACAAAUGAGUAUUUUGGCCCUUUGAAAUUAUUUAAAUGAAAUGGGUCAGGUAGAAUCAUAAUAUCUCUAGUCUAAUGAUGAAGCAUUAUUCAAAAUGUCAUUAAGAUGCGUUAAUUGAAGGUCUGCAUGACAAAGUCAUAGUCAAUUAAAAUUUGAUUUGGACAGAGUCAUAAAGGUUUACUGGUAGAAAUUACAAUAAAUAAACUAAUUCACAUAAUUUUAAAUUUAGCUCCUAUUUGUUUCCCAUUUUUUUCAUUAAAAUUAAAAAUAUGACCGUUAUCUAUCACAUCAAGCCACCAAAUUUGAAUUUCUAUUUCUUGUGUGGGAUCCAUAGCAGCUAUAUUUUUCAUUCUCAUUUUUGCAAAAAUGGAAAACAAACGAAGUAAAAUCAGAUUUUCAAUAAUUUUUAAUAAAAGUUGCAGAAAUAUAUAAAAAAAAAUUAAUAAAAAAUGUGAAUCCAGGAAAUUUAUAAUUAAAAUUACUUGCUAAAUCUGAAUUAAACUUUUAUUAAGCUUUUUAGCCAAGCGAUGGCAUAAUAUUUCAAGAUUUUAUGGGUAUAAUUUUCACCCACAAAACUAUUACAAAUUAACAGCACAAAUAUUCCUCCUACAAAGAAAGAUUAAGGUCCAAGUCUGUGUCCGCACCUUUAUCAACAUCUUCAGGCUCUUUAUCUUCUGUAUUACAUGUCCCCGUCGCGGCCACAGACACCGACACCGGCGGUGGUUCCACUUCUUCCAUCAUAUAUGUUUCCUCCUUAUCUCUUCCUUCACCAAAACUUGUUCGUGGUGUUACUGUAUUACUUGUGCUACUGCCACAACCCGCCGCCUUGAGCUGCACUACAUCUUCCAUGAAGUCUUCUGGUCGGAAACUCGGAUUCCAAACCACCGGCUGCGGCGGCGGUUUAUCUUCAUUUGCCUUUUGUAUGCCUUUGCGCUCUCCUUUCAUUAACUUUUCGUGUACUUCUCGUGUGCUUUUGAUCAAAGCAAAGAACAAUUCAAUCUUCUGGUCAUCAUCUUCUUCAUCCUCCAUUUUUCUCUUCUUUUUCUCUCCAUCCAUAUAUAGGUGUAUAUAAUUGUGUGAGAUGUGUAUAGUGAGAAGGGGGUGGGGAUGGGGGGAGGAACACAUCAAUUUGGGUUCAUUGAAUCCACUGAACUACAUGCCUAUAUAUGGACAACCUCAUAGAGGAAGAUUAUAGAAAAACUUCAUUAAAGUUUAAUUACUAGUGAUCUUCCAUAAGUUCGUUGACUGGUUUAUGUUU